rnacentral:tRNA from 1 species
GCUUCCGUGGCGAAGUAGGCAGCGCGUUCGGCUGUUAACCGAGAGUUUAGUGGUUGGGAGCG